GUUAAGGUGGCAGAGCCCGGCCAUUGCAAAAGACCUAAGCCCUUUAAAUAGAGGUUCAAAUCCUCUCCUUAACU
rnacentral:tRNA from 1 species